CCUACGGGAGACAGCAGUGGGGAAUAUUGCACAAUGGGGGUAAGCCUGAUGCAGCAACGCCGCGUGAGUGAUGACGGCCUUCUGGUUGUAAAGCUCUUUCUUCAGGGACGAUAAUGACGGUACCUGAGGUGGAAGCUACGGCUAACUACGUGCCAGCAGCCGUGGUAAUACGGAGGUGGCGAGCGUUGUCCGGAUUUACUGGGCGUAAAGGGAGCGUAGGCGGACUUUUAAGUGAGAUGUGAAAUACUCGGGCUCAACUUGAGUGCUGCAUUUCAAACUGGAAGGCUUGAGUGUAGGAGAGGAGAAUGGAAUUCCUGGUGUAGCGGUGAAAUGCGUAGAGAUUAGGAAGAACACCAGUGGCGAAGGCGAUUCUCUGGACUGUGACUGACGCUGAGGCUCGAAAGCGUGGGGAGCAAACAGGAUUAGAUACCCCUGUAGUC
rnacentral:rRNA from 1 species